rnacentral:lncRNA from 1 species
UCGGGGCUCUUUGGGCAAUGAAGAAAAAACAAUUAUAUAAUCAUAAAGCAUCAAAGAGUCCUAUCAAAAUGAAAAAAUACUGGUUUUCUAAACGAAAACUGUCUGGGUGACGAAAGCUAAGCCGUCGUGACGGCAGAGAAGCCACUGAAAUAAACAGACAGAUUGAACCAUUCACUCUCCUGAUUUCAAAACACUCUCGAUUACAAGCUAAUAUAAGUGAAAAGUGAAGAGAGCGUUACGUCAAUUCGACUCUAUUUCUGUGGGUUAUUUAAAUCAUGUUCUAGAUUGUUCUACCUUGCUGUCUGUCGAAGGUUUAUGUAACCUAACAUUUCAGCCAAAAGUAAUCACUUCGGGAUAGUAUUAAACCCAAAACAAUACUGCUCUGCUUGGAUUAUACUGGUAAUCGAUGAAAAAGUGUCAGGAACAUCAUAAACUCUUUUUCCACGUCUUAUGUGGUUUGCUAUAAAGAUUUACUAAAUGUAGACGAGUUUUUCCCACAGCGUCUUACUCUUAUGAACCUCAUUAUAAUUUUCAGUCACGACCGACCAACCUUUUUGUAUUUGAUUCUGAUGGUCUACGUGCAAAAUACGGUAAAAUGUAGUCUGAGCUAGAGAGCAAUCAGCAAUCUAAUAAAUAAAAGUUUUACUUCUUUUCUUCUAUGCUUAAUUCCUUACAGCUAGCAAUAAAUGCGAAUGUAUGUAGUGACGACUGUAGCGUCGUUUUGUAUUCUCCGGGUUAAAACGUAAUAAACAAAUUGCUGAAAUUGUUGACUACCAGCCAGUAUUUAUUGUCGUCAUACUGCGUUCUCAAUACCCUGCCCACGAACUUGCACAACAGAACGGAAUCUUGCUCUAGGCGAACGUGAUUUUUCCAAGGCCUACUCAAAGGCCUGUAAACUUGAAUAUAUUUAAUGGCGGCGUUAGCUGUGGCCUGCGAGAGCCAAUCAGAGCAAAAAAUGGACUACGACUGCGCUAUCUGGCGCUCGCUACUGCUACUGCAUCGAAAAUCUAAGUGCUAAUUCAAGUACCAAAAAAUGUACCUUUACUAACAUGAUUACAGAUUUGUCAAAUACCUUUAACAUCUUUUUACAAAUUUCCAACAAUACUUAGUUGCCAUCAAGCUAUCCGCUAUGUUCCUUGUUCCAAGAAGCACGAAAAUAUUUACUCUUUCUAAGAGUUACCUAUCUAAAAAAAGUCAACAGAUGCAAAUUUCCUUAAUGGAAGAGUCUUUUUGUGUAGUCCUAUGUUCUAUAACAGUGUAGCUAAUAUAAAUAUUUGUCAUAGAAUUGCAUAUAAAAGCCAUAUAUAAACCAAAAUUACUGUUGAUAGGUCAUUUCAAGAUUGCUUACAUGAAGCUGGCAUGUGCACAUCAGCACGGUGAUCAGAUUUUGUCCUCUAUCUAUUUUUGCACACUGUAGGGCUGCAGAUAGGAAUUGCACCUAAAGAUAUGAAAACAUUGUCUGACAGCAAAAAAAAAACUGAAAUAAAUAACAUGCAAAUAUACUGUACUGUACAUUCAAAUUACGUCGUGUGAAAAUCAAUCUUUCAAACAGUCGUGUGUCUAGUGUCCCUCAUGUUGGUACGAAAAAAAGGCAAAUUUCAAUGUAUUAACGAGUAGCGAAAAGAAUGUUUAAAACGGAAACGGAACGCACUGAACACGUCUUGAAUCUCUCGACUCACUAUUGGAAACGAUGAAAUUGAUAAAAACUUUAAAGGAAAAUUUGAAUCGAUAGUACUUCUGAUUUGUCCUAUUCGUCGCAAAAUAAAUUUAUUGUCCUUCCUGGG